UAGGGAAUCUUCCACAAUGGGCGAAAGCCUGAUGGAGCAACGCCGCGUGUGUGAUGAAGGGUUCCGGCUCGUAAACACUGUUGUAAGAGAAGAAUGACAUUGAGAGUAACUGUUCAAUGUGUGACGGUAUCUUACCAGAAAGGAACGGCUAAAUACGUGCCA
rnacentral:rRNA from 1 species